UACGUAGGGUGCGAGCGUUAAUCGGAAUUACUGGGCGUAAAGCGUGCGCAGGCGGUUUUGUAAGCCAGAUGUGAAAUCCCCGGGCUUAACCUGGGAAUGGCAUUUGGGACUGCAAGGCUGGAGUUUGGCAGAGGAGACUGGAAUUCCCGGUGUAGCGGUGAAAUGCGUAGAGAUCGGGAGGAACAUCAGUGGCGAAGGCGGCCAUCUGGGACAACACUGACGCUGAGGCACGAAAGCGUGGGGAGCAAACAGG
rnacentral:rRNA from 1 species